ACAGUGAUUUGCAACAGCUUGUGUUUGCUCCCUGGGGGCCAGGGAAAGAGCGCAUGCUCAAAGCUUGUGUUCCAAACCCAGGUCUCUUCCAAAUUCCAUCUUGCUCCUACCUCCCUUGCAAAGCAAAGGCAAAGGCAGUUGCGGUCCACCCAGACCAUCGGGUUCCUCUCAGGCCAGCAGGUGCUCUGAGUGCCCGGGUUCCUAGGAGACACAGGGAGGCGUGGGAGGCAGACAGCGGGUCCAGGCCUGAUUCCUCACCAGCCUUCCUGCCGCCCGCUCUUCUCAGUCUCAUCUCAUUUGCUUUUUCCUGUACAUCUUUUCUUGGUUUGUCAAGGACAAGGUGAGGCCCACUUAGAAACUGUGUUAUGGCAUAGUUGCUGAUUCCAAAAGGAAAGUAAAUAAUAAAACGAAAAGUUGAAUAAGUGAAUUGGGCAAAGAAAAUAUUUAUGUAUUUUCUUCUUACCCGUGCCCAUCUUGGAGGGUGAAGGAGCCAGAAGGCGCGGAGUGUUAGGAGCUGCAGUUCCCGCAGGGGCGGUUUAAACUCGAUCCUGCCUUUGGCGGGAGCAGACUCGGGUUUCUUCUAGACUUCCAAUUCUGCAACUCGAUUUCCACUGAACAACAUUCUACAGACGCCUCUGGCAGCAAGCUUCAAUGUCCCACGUCUCACAAGUCUUAGAGUCAGGCAGCUUCGUCGGAAUCCUCAGAAAGGUCAAAAAUCAGGUUUGCAGUACGUGAACAGGUUGACCAAGAACAAUGUGGAGAUCUGGCUCCAAACACGAAGGAGCCCUAAUUAGAGGCCAUGAUUUUCCCCAGCGAUCAUAAGACUGUUAUGUGUCAACAUUUCAUCCACAGGUAAGGGAGAGAAAAGAGUUUCCCUGCCCCAGGACAGAUAGCUUUUGUUGCCCACCCCCCGCCCCCGCAAAUCUUUAUUAUAUGACUCCAAAAUCAUGGUACAGGAAAACAUAGCAAAAUAACAAUACAAACAUUUCAACAAGGAAUGGAUGAGGGGAACAUGAUUUAGUUUAGUUAUAGAGACAUCACUUAUCUUAACAAAGGAUUAAACAGAUCAUUUAACCUUCUGUUAUGGGAUGAAAAUUAUUGCAUAUCCAGUUCAGCCCAUUGUUCUGACGUAUAAGGGUGAGAGGCAGCUUUCAAAUUAUCAAAAAUAAAAAGCAUGAUGCAGAAAGUGUCUGCUUUACUAAUUCAACACUGUGAAAAAAAUUACUGUAUCUUAAAGUUCCAGUCUCUUUAACCAUCUGUGCUACUAGAUUGUAUUUACUAUGUAUUUUUGGUUCAGAUACUUCAAGAAAAAAUGGUUUAUUUGCAUUUCAAAUUCCUGGGUUGUGUCUUAGUUGUGACUCAGAAGUUCUGCUGAUUGUGUUAAGACCGCUAGUUUAUGAUGUUUUUCUGACACAAUGCCAGGAAUGUUGCAAAAAAAAAAAA